UUGGAACUUUAUGCCCCAUGGCCUAGGAAGCAUCUGAAGGGCCCGCCAGAUGCUUGCUGGGCUGAGGUUUCACAUGUCACCCAGAGCCAGGGAAUAGGGUGGAAGAGUACAGAGGGGAGCUGGGGAUGGGCUGAAUACUAUGGCAGGAGUAGGGGUUAUAGAAGUUGUUGGAAUAACUCAUCAGCCAAAUUAAAUUGGAUCCAACCCUGCUCUUUUCAUUGGAUCUAGAUUUGGAGUUGGAAGAUGACAGAACCAUCUGAAUUCUUGUCCAGAACAAAAGAGGAAUUUGAAUUCCAGAAAUACUCAUUUUACAAUUGAGAAAACUGAGGCCACGCAGAUGAAAUGACUUGCCCAGUUAUCACACAGAUGAGAUCUAUUGUUAAACAUUUACCAGCACAUAGGAGAAAGGAGAAGGAGCAUGGACAGAGGACUCUAUAUGAUCACCCUUUCAGAAGAUGUGAAAUGUACUUUAGAAGUUAUAUGGUUAACCCUCAUCAUUUUGCAGGGGAGAAGAAGUCCAGAAAAAUUAAAUGACUCAGGAUUUGAAUUCAAGUCCUCUGAGACAAAAGAUAAAUUUUAAUCCUAUGAUGCCUUUCUUUCUGCUGCUGUCAUAACUAGAUCCUUAGUACUGGAAUCCAUUUCAAGACAAGCUCUGUCUUAAAUAAAGGAGGCGAUAUUACCAAAAA